rnacentral:lncRNA from 1 species
GUCCAUGUGAUAACUCCACGGCCCAACAAUUUGAUGCGGUCCAGCUUGGGAAAAAGGGUGUGAUCCGUGAGCAAUGGGGGUGCAAACGGUGAGAUGGCAGCAGCAGCCCACACGGUGCAGCAGCGUUCCAACCUUCAUGCGUCAAGCAGAGGUGCACACGGAAGAAGUCCAGCAGCUUGAGAUCCUCACGGACUUCAUGUUUUCCUUGCUGCUUGUCCACGUCCAACAUUCUUAUUCAUCCAGCAACUCCUUGUCCAGC